GUUCAUAGGCCCUCAUUGAAAAUAAGAAUUUGUUAUUAACUGACUUGCCUAGUUAAAUAAAGGUUUAACAAAUGAACCGGUAUGUAGAACCCUGGUAUGGGCAGUGCAGUGGAUAUAAUAUUGGACAAAGCUACCGUCCCCUGUAAAUGUGGGAUUUAGCUGAUAGCGAAUUUAACCUACAAAGUGCCAACAUCGCCACCCUGGCGUUUCCUUGUUUUGAUGGCUGUUAUCUUCCCAAGCAAGAAAAUGAAUUUGUUCACACAGUCCUGCACGAACUGGAUGCUUACCUACAGAGAGAGAAACAGAAAAGUGCCCUACUCUUCCCCCCUCUAUCAAGCAGACUUCGCUACCUGAUUCACAAAACCACUGAGAACCACCGUAACCUCGCCACCUUCUCCGUGGGGGAGGGCUGGAGCCGCAGAGUAGUUGUCUGCUACUCGCACCUCAGGCUGGAUCUGGGGGAUGAAAGCAACACAGACAGUUUCUACAAUGAGGCUCCUAGGAGAGGUAUGGGGAUGCAGAGCAGCAGAAUGGACCUCCAGCCCAGACCCCUGGCCCAGCGGAGCGGAGGUAAUGCCAAACGCCCUGACAAGGCCAUCUACGUCCCAAGGGCGGCUAGGGACAGGCAACGGGACAGUGGCAGUAAUCUCCACGGACCACCAGCAGGGGUGGACCUCGACCUGCCCCUGCCCACUCUCAGCUUCACCUCCUCGGGAUGCACCUCCACCUCAGAGUCCUGCUCCUGCUGUUCCUCAGACACCACGGAGGGAACGCUGUCAGAAACGCAGGCCAACACCAACCAGGACAGUGUGCCUUCUAAUACCACUAGCGCUGGGCAGGAGGAUGACUUCAUUCGCUUCUCAGCAGAGGAGCCCUGCCCCCACCCCCCCGCCUGGGGCCAGACUGUGUCCUACUUCAUGGCCCUGACCCUGGAGCACCAGACUAGGGAAGCCCAGGAGGAGGAGGAACAUGUAGCGGAGGAGCAUGUAGCGGAGGAGGUGCUGACGGAGGAGUCGUCUGUGGGCAGUAGCAACGUGACCUCCCACCAACACCAUGCCUCUCAUACAACACCAGCCAAGGAUGCUGCUAGCGAUGCUGUUGAUUUUAGCCAAGAGAUCAAGGCCCACUUGACAGAGACUGACGUGGCCAUCGAACACGCCCACAACGACUACUCUUGUUUCGAGAACGUGUGGAUCAACCAGGACGAAUUUGGCCACGUCAUCGAGAUCUACGACUUCCCGGCCAUGUUCAAAACAGGCGACCUGCUGGAUGCCUUUGCAGACUACAGCGACGAAGGCAUGAAGAUUAAGUGGGUGGACAACACUCACGCCCUGGGCGUGUUCUCCAGUCAAUCUGCAGCUCUCCAUGCACUUUCCAUUCGGCACCCUCUCCUGAAGACGUGCACUCUGUCUGACGGGAGCAAGAAGGCCAAAGGGAAAGCCAUAAGACGUGCUGAGUUUAUCCAGCCGGUGAAGGAGAGGCCACGGACAGACUCAGCGGUGGCCCGCAGAAUGGUAUCCAGAGCCCUGGGAGUGCAGAGAGGUGGAACGCCCUCACAACGUUUCUGACCGCUACAGCAGCAUCAGUAGAAUUCACCUGACUCUCCUCCCCCAGUCAUACAAGGAGAAUGUUCUAAUGCCUCCCAUCAAAAAGAGAGCUGGCCCAAGCAAGCACAGGUGAUACCUGAAGCACGAGGACUUGCAGCAUGUGGUGAAAUUCAUCAACAACUACGCAGAGGAUAAUGCAAUAGUAUUACCAGGACGCCACCCAGACCACAAACACUUUGGUGGAAAGCUGCUGUCAUCCCAUGUGACAAAAGCAGCAGUGUGGCAUCUCUACAAGGAAUUGAUGACAACACUUGUCUGGACCUUUACUUCCUGAUCACAGGCCACACCAAGUUUGCCCCCUGGUCCUUCGGCCUCAUCAAGCAGCGCUUCAGAAAGACCAGAGUGAACACUUUGUCUGAGAUUGUUAGUGUUGAAGUCAGCACUGUGACAGGGGUUAACAUCCCACAGCUGGUUGGACUGGAGGAUGAUACGGUUCUGGUGGAAAGCUAUGGUUGGCAACAACACCUGACUCCGUACUUCAGGCCGCUGCCACAGAUGAAGCAGUACCAGCACUUCAGGUGAAAAUCAUUUUCAUUGCAUUGUAUGAGGUUACUCUUCUUAUCUAAACUUGGGAGUUAAAUUGAUGUUGAGCAAUGUUGUUAUGUCUUCUGAUUUAAUUUUAUUCCCUGUUUAACAUCUUCGAUGCUCUGGAGCCUGGUGUUGUUGUCGCCAAGGAGCGCUUGGACUGUCGGGACCAGGUUUCAGCUGCUGCGCAAUUUUGACAUCCUUCCUCCCAUAGAUGAUCUGCAUGUACAAGCACCACCUGGACUGGACACAGCUAGACAAACAUUUUUUUUUGAGAAGAUCAGGGAGUUUUGCAACGAAGAGGCUAUGGACAUCACAUGUCCUAAACCAAAGUCAAGGGCAGGACAGAAACAGGCUCUCCGAAUAUAGAUUGCCUUGUUCAUGCGUGGUUCGGACGAACCAGUCAUUAGCACUAUCUGCAGUGCCUCUAUUCAAAUGACUCACACACACCAUACUUUGCUGCUACUAUUUUUUUUAUCCUGCUGCUCAGUCACUUUACCCCUGAUUGUAUGCAUAUAAUUACCUCGUCUAUCACUGAUAUCGUUAUUGAUAUUGUUCUUGUAAAUACUGUAUAUUAUUUUAUUUAUAUUGACAAUAUCUAUUUCUUAUAUUGCUACUAUGCAAGUAACCAUUUGGCUGUACCGUUUACACCUUCUGUAGAGACCGUCCACUUAGCAAGACAGCAAAAUAUUGAUACAGUUGAAGUCAGAAGUUUAUAUACACUUAGGAUGGAGUCAUUAAAACUCGUUUUUCAAC